CACAUAGUUAAAAGAUGUAAGAGUUUAUGC
rnacentral:piRNA from 1 species